GGUAAACUUUUCACUACUUAUACUUCAAUUACCUAAAGUCACUGAAGUAAAAAUUCUUCCUGUUUGUAUUGCUUGGAACUAUGAGGUUUUGCAGAGCACUUUACCUAUGAGCAUGCAGAUAGAUUAAUAUUUUUGGGAGUUGACUUCAAAUUAUCCAUUUAUCUAUUCUUGAAAAUUGCUUGAGUAGAUUGUGUAAAUAAAUAUUGUAGAUUGUGUAGUUGUUUGUGUCCAGUUGUGUAUACUGUGUUGUGGAUUUUGUCCAGGUGUUUUGGUGGCCUCUAGUGACAGAUAGUGUACUGAUAUUCUUUUCUUUCUUCUAUUUUUUUUUGUCAAUGUCUUUCUUUUAAUGGUUAAUGUAUGGCAAUGGAAUUGCUGAAAAUAAGAAUCUCAGCUUGUUGGAACAAUCUUCUUGAGACUGUCAUGACUGGAUAUUUUCAGAGCUUGCCUUUCAGACGUAAUUCAUGUACUCUUAGUAAGUGUAGCUACCACACUUCUGUGUUUGACAAGGCUUUUAGCUUACGGUGCCUCAAAGUUUUCUUUAUCAAUAUUUCAUUUUAAAGUUAAAUACUAAAAUAGCCAUUGUGGUUUGCCCAUUAAAUAGAUUAAUCCCUGAACUUUAAUUUUUAACUUUUUACUCCCUAAACUUUUAACUUUGAUCAAAUCAAUCAUUCUGUUAAUAUAGCCACAUCGAAGCCAAGUCACCAGCAUUUUGGUUGACAUGCUGAUCCUGUAGCUAUUGGUCAAUUUGUUUCUUAAAAGCCAGCUUGACUUGGUGAAAUUGGUAGCCUCAUUAUGUUUUGCAAGAGUCUCAUGCUUUUUUAAUGUUUCUUGUUUCACUGCUUAAAUAUGUAGUUAGGUGUGUAACCAAGUAGAGGGAAGGUAGAAACAUGAAGAAUUCAUGCUAUCUACUGCUUGAAGAGAACAGGGAGGAUGCAAUAUUAGAACUCACCAGUGUUCCCUGUGAUAUAUGACUACAAAAGAACUGUUUUGUCUUUACCCCCAAUUAUCAAUGGUGCACAUUCAGCAAUCACUCUUAAGACGAAGAAUGUGUUCAUUGAAUGCACUGCUACUGAUCUGACAAAAGCAAAGAUAGUUUUAAACACAGUGGUGACGACCUUCUCAGAAUAUUGUGAAAGAAAGUUUGAAAUUGAGCCAGUUGAGGUGAUAUAUUCUGAUGGGAAGUCGGUUGUUUAUCCUGAUUUAUCUUUCUACAAUAUGGAAGUUCCUCUAUCUUAUAUUGAAGUUUCUGCUUGCCUAUGUACUGAACAUAUUUCUACUUGUUGUAUAUCAAUUAUGUACUGAACAUAUGAUUCAUGUAAGAGCUCCAUUUGACUUGUAAGGAAUAGACAGUUGUUAGUUGAAACAGUGUGCAAGUGGAUUUGUAUGAAUGUAUGAAUAUCUUGCAGAUUAUA